UCUGCGAUGCAGAAAGGGGUGCGGGUUGCAAAGGGAGUAGCCUCUGUUUUUUUGUUACUUAAGCAUGGGAAGUUGGAGUUUUCCUUUUGAUUCAUUUCUAGGAAGUCGGUGCAAACUGGCCCUGCCUCCAGACCCUAUUCUCCAGCAUGAAUUGCAUCUCAUCAAUGUCAUUUUCACUUUUGAUGAUGAAGGCUGAUUACCUUGUAGAGAGAGAAGUCAUAGGGAUGUUAUGUCCAUGGAGCGUGGCCUUAAGUGGACCUAUUUCUUGGGGUCUCCAGAUCUGUUUGGAACUUCAAAAUUAUUCAAGAAAAGGUGUCUCAUCAGCAGAAGACUGAACAGUUUUACCUAAUGGUAUCUUGAGUAGAAAUGUAACCUAGAAGAGUUUAUUGAAAAUCCUCCUGGCUGAUGCUUAUUUCUUGGAAUCCUGAGUCUUACACUUGCUACCUAAUAAAAAGAAGGAAGAUUCUUCUCAGCAAGGUGAGAAAACAGGCUGAGAGAAGUUGGAAGAAACACAGGAGCAGGGAUCCCACAUUAGACAGUCUGAUUCCAGAGAUCAGGACCUUGGCUGCAACACUAUAUGGGCUCUGGGAAAUCCAAGAGGCCUGUUUUCACCUGCACAGCAUUUCUACCUGCCCAUGAAAGGCAGACUUACGCACUUUGAUGUCAAAGACCAACCAGAAAGGUAACUUUAGAGAUGCUCACCCGAACGCCCCCUGUGCACUGCCUCUCUUCAAUGAUCCUGACCUCAUCGUACCUUUUGGGAGUGGCUCUGAGUCUGUGUUUCCACCACUGACUCCUUUGAAGAAGAUCGUCAGCCUUGGGUCUGGAAUGUAGCCCAUUAAUGUUCCCCUUGACCUUUGGUGGAAACGCUGCCAUUUCCUGUCCUGGUUCCUCAUCUUCUCUCAUGUGCCUAAACACUGACCCCAAGUGGGAGAGAAGAUACAGUCAAGUUCUUCGCCUUGACACUGUUCUCUGCAAAGUCAAAGUCACUUUCAGUCUUGAUUUUAACCAGAGCUUAUUUCCUCCCACCAGUGUUGGGAUGAAAGUCAAAGAUGAAGUGAAAGACAGAUUGUGUAACUUUUAUUUUUAAAAGAGUGUUUAAUUUUGGAAGGUAUGAUUAAUAUUUCAAUACUGCUUCUAAUGGCUUCAUUUAUUUUUUUUUCAGCCAAUAAGAAGUGAGAAAUCCUGUCUCCGUAGCCAAAAUCUCAUAUAAUUCCUCCCCAGCAAUACAGAAGUCUCUCUGUUGCUACCUAGAGUAAAAAUGUCAAUACACAUCAUGUAUUAAAAUUCACCUGUAUUUUCUCAACACCUUUUCGAUAUCUUUCCAAAUUGCUUUAGUAAUCUCUGGCAUCAAGAACUGGUAAGAGUAUGUGGCAUUUUCCUUCCUGUUUGAGUAACACCUAUUAAGAGAGGUGGCAAUUAAAAUCAAAUUGUAAUUUUUAAACCUUAAGGGAAGCUAUUGCAGUAUUGCUAAGAACAUUCAGUUACCGGUAUGUUAGCUAACACCUACACCCGCUGCGAUUAGCGAUGAAACAAACUUCUACGGACCUUAAAAAACCAAACGUCUCCUUUAAAAUAAUCAUCCUAUGAGUAAACAGUCCUGUUCACACAUGUAUAUGAGAUGUCAUCCUUUCUUUGCCGUUACAGCGCUCCGCCUUGCCAAUGCUGCUGAGCACUGACUCACUCACAGGGCAUUUGGAAGGUGGGCGAUUUGUUCCUGCAGCAUCAUUGCACUCCAAAUGUGCUGAGAAUGGAUGUAGCCUCCAAUGCUGCCGUGCCAGCAGCAGCUUAGAUCAGAGGGAUCAGCAGAGGCUAUUGUCCAUUCCUCAGCAAUGCACUUGACCUUGAGAGCUAUAUAGAAUGGAAGGAAACCCACUAAAGCCAAAUUCAUGUCCUAAGAUUUAUAUCCUUUUUAGGGAUCCCACCCCUGGAACGUAAUUCAGGUCCAAAUCCUCUUCUUCUCCUUUCCAACUGCCACUGCCUUAGAGUAGUGGACUUAUCUCCACCUGCACAUUUUAGAGUCACUUGGGGCAAGGCAGGGGGCAGACGUUAAAACAUACCAGUGUCAAGGUACCAUCCCAGAGACUCUAAAUUAAUUAGUCUGUGUUGUGCCUGAAAUGAGUACUUUUUAAUACCUCCCUAGGUAUUUCUAAAGUACAGCUAGGACUGGAAACCACUGGAGUCCAGCACAAGCCUUUCUCAUUUCUUUCCUGGUUUAUGGCAAAUGCCUCCUGAAUGCCCUUCAUCUUUUGUGCCUGAGGCUAAUCACCUUUAAUGUGUUAUAAUGAUUGAAUUAUUUUUGUAUUAAUCCAUGUUUGAUGUAGAAAAAUGAGAAAAUAAAAAGC
rnacentral:lncRNA from 1 species